UAAUUUGUCUGAGAUCUCAUCUAAUUUUAAUAAACUCACACCUAACUAGCGAGAAAUACAUAUUAUCACAAGUACAAUUGCAUUCAACUGUAUCACUAAUUCUAUUAAACAUACA
rnacentral:pre_miRNA from 1 species